rnacentral:rRNA from 1 species
AUUGAACGCUGGCGGCAGGCUUAACACAUGCAAGUCGAGCGGAGAUGAGGUGCUUGCACCUUAUCUUAGCGGCGGACGGGUGAGUAAUGCUUAGGAAUCUGCCUAUUAGUGGGGGACAACAUUCCGAAAGGAAUGCUAAUACCGCAUACGUCCUACGGGAGAAAGCAGGGGAUCUUCGGACCUUGCGCUAAUAGAUGAGCCUAAGUCGGAUUAGCUAGUUGGUGGGGUAAAGGCCUACCAAGGCGACGAUCUGUAGCGGGUCUGAGAGGAUGACCCGCCGAACGGGGACUGAGACACGGCCCAGACUCCUACGGGAGGCAGCAGUGGGGAAGAUUGGACAAUGGGGGGAACCCUGAUCCAGCCAUGCCGCGUGUGUGAAGAAGGCCUUAUGGUUGUAAAGCACUUUAAGCGAGGAGGAGGCUACUGAGACUAAUACUCUUGGAUAGUGGACGUUACUCGCAGAAUAAGCACCGGCUAACUCUGUGCCAGCCGCCGCCGUAACAC